GUGGUUUGUCGCGUUGUUCGUGAAAACUCACAGCUUAACUGUGGGCGUGCGGGCGAUACGGGCAGACUAGAGUACUGCGGGGGAGACUGGAAUUCCUGGUGUAGCGGUGGAAUGCGCAGAUAUCAGGAGGAACACCGGUGGCGAAGGCGGGUCUCUGGGCAGUAACUGACGCUGAGGAGCGAAAGCGUGGGGAGCGAACAGGAUUAGAUACCCUGGUAGUCCACGCCGUAAACGGUGGGUACUAGGUGUGGGUUCCUUCCUUGGAUCCGUGCCGUAGCUAACGCAUUAAGUACCCCGCCUGGGGAGUACGGCCGCAAGGCUAAAACUCAAAGGAAUUGACGGGGGCCCGCGCAAGCGGCGGAGCAUGUGGAUUAAUUCGAUGCAACGCGAAGAACCUUACCUGGGUUUGACAUGCACAGGACGCCGGCAGAGAUGUCGGUUCCCUUGUGGCCUGUGUGCAGGUGGCGCAUGGCUGUCGUCAGCUCGUGUCGUGAGAUGUUGGGUUAAGUCCCGCAACGAGCGCAACCCUUGUCCUAUGUUGCCAGCGGGCUAUGCCGGGGACUCGUAGGAGACUGCCGGGGUCAACUUCGGAGGAAGGUGGGGAUGACGUCAAGUCAUCAUGCCCCUUAUGUCCAGGGCUUCACACAUGCUACAAUGGCCGGUACAAAGGGCUGCGAUGCCGUGAGGUGGAGCGAAUCCUUUCAAAGCCGGUCUCAGUUCGGAUCGGGGUCUGCAACUCGACCCCGUGAAGUCGGAGUCGCUAGUAAUCGCA
rnacentral:rRNA from 1 species